rnacentral:rRNA from 1 species
UACGGAGGGUGCAAGCGUUAUCCGGAUUCACUGGGUUUAAAGGGGGCGUCGGUGGGAAUGUAAGUCAGUGGUGAAAUCCCCGAGCUUAACUUGGGAACUGCCAUUGAUACUAUCAGUCUUGAAUACCGUGGAGGUCAGCGGAAUAUGUCAUGUAGCGGUGAAAUGCUUAGAUAUGACAUAGAACACCAAUUGCGAAGGCAGCUGGCUACACGAAUAUUGACACUCAGGCACGAAAGCGUGGGGAUCAAACAGG